GGACAUGCAGGGAGCACAGACGAGCUGCUCAUCGGCGUCCGUCCCACAGCCCCGCUGAAGACGGCGCCCAGACCCCUUGACAGCGCACUCCUCCUACUUGCCGCCCGGGAGCAAAUAGCGACAGCGAGUAGGCGACAACUAUACUACGUCGAGAAGCGAUACAGGGGCAUGAAGCAAGCGAGCAGGUGCGCAGCAACCUGCUACUGCACUAAUAGUAGCCUUGACGGAGCACCGGGGCCGGCUCGACAGGGCAUGCCGCCCGCCGGUAGACGCCUGGUUGUGUGAGACGGAGAUGAACCUCGCGUCGUCGCCUCUGGAGCCUGGACAAAGCUCCGCUGGUGCUGGGGAUGAACCCUGCGUCUGUGAUGGUGAUGGCGCUGUCCAUCUACUUUCUCCACUGGCUAUAAGGGAGUAAAGAUCACAUCGUGGGUGUGUUUUUCUUCAAAGAUGUGGCCCUGUCAUUGUUGGCUGUCGAAUUUGGGAUGUAAUCCGUCCCUAUGUAAGUGUAUUAACCACUUCGCCCUCUCGCACAAUGAGCAGAACAGAGCAGCGGCUGCAAUUUACCCAUUGAUUUCUUGGGGUGAUUCAAACCUAGGAAGCCUGCUACUUGUGCAAGCAACAGGGUAACAAGUUUCAGUUUUCUUACUGAUUCACCUCAAUUUUGCAAGGUAAGAACAAUGUCAGUUUACUUUAUGUUGGUUUUCUAAUUUCUACAUAUUCCCUCAAGCAAAUCUGAUUAUCUAGGUAGUACGGAAAGCAGGCAAAUUACGUCACUAUUUGGGUGUACUCAUGCUCUGCUAUGUCAGAUUAAGGAGAAAAAAUUAUUUUAUUCACCAUCCUAUUUUUUAUCUAUAAUGAUGAUCACUGUUUCCAUCUUGUGAUCUUCUUUGCUCCAGUUGUGCGAAUACUUUGUUUGCACUUUAGUGGUACUGAAAUUUUCCUGCUACCAUGAGUCAUGGUAGUAGGCUGCUGCGGCAAAAAGCUGGUAAGCCCCCUAAGGGAAGAAAACUGAAAAAACUCUCAUCGUGCUUACCAUGUUUCAUCUUAAAAUUUUGGCUUGAAUUUUUUUUCUGUAUGACCUAUAUCUCUAUGUGGUUACUUUCUCCAGACAUGCUUUAGCUGCACCAUUGGUCAAGUGGCUUGAACACAACUCACAUGAGUCAUCGCCAAAUGGCCCUUUUCUGAAAUUCAUUCUCUUAUGCACUGAGAGAGGAGUUACUCCAUGGCAGUCUAUAUACAUACAGAUGCAAGCAAUUAAGAAACUCAUGCAGAUGAUGACUGGAGAAUUUUUCAUGAAUUUUCCAACCUAAAUUUGCUAGAGGUUGGGAAAAGAGGAGUCCAGGCUCUGAUGAACACAUGUUCUUUCGCAGGUGACUAACAGUUGGCACCUCUAUCUUUACAUUACAUCAGGCCAGCGCUACAAAGCCCAUAAACCAAUUCAACUAGACCAGGACUAUGUUUAUUAGUCCUCCAGUGUUUGUUGGAAUGAGAUGACACAUGGUAUGCCAGCUAACAAGCAACUGAAGUAAGAAGAUUUUUGUAAUUUCUUGGAAAGAAAGAGCCCUGAACCCAAGAUGGCGAAGGAUCCAAUAUGUCAGGACCAAUGAAGGAAUUGCAGAGCUUCAUAUUCAGUUUAUUUUAGGUGCUUGCCUACUUCAAGUAUCUAGAUUACAGGAAACAUGUAUCUUCAAGUGUCUACUUCAAGUAAGUUUCUUAUAGAAGUAGUCAGUUUGAUUCCUUCAAAAUAGUUGUUGCCUGAUAAUUUGUGUAUGACUAAAUAGCAGUACCUCAAAUUUUGCUUCAGCUUCUUAAAACAGAGUAAUUUUGUAAAUCCUAACAGAACUCUAUCAGUCUGAACCAAUUUCUUGUAAAUCUACAAUACAUCAUAGCCUCAUCUGAUCGAAUCAUUGGUUUCAGAUCAAUACAUCCUUGUGCAUUCCCAUAAGAUCAAUAAUAUUCAGUUUGAUUGUGUCAAAAACUUGCUGCUUGACAAUCUGUAUGACUAGAUAGCAAUACCUUAAAAUUGCUUUUGGUUUUAAACUGAACUGAACUUGGUUGGGGCUGAACUGAACUCAGUUUGGUUCUACAAAAAGAUAGGGUUAUAUUCUACAUCGUUUUUAAGGCGAUAAGGUGACCUAAGGCGAGCACCACCCGCUCUAGCGCCUAGGCGACGCCUAAGCGCCUAAGGCGGGCAUAUUUGUAAGGCGCUGCCAGGGCGCCUUAUCGCCUAAGCGUCCAAGGGAGGACGCCUUAAAAACAAUGAUUCUUUGAAUUUUUCUUGUUAACUCUAAACUGGACUCAACUCAGUUUGAUUCUGUAAAAAAGAUUGUGACAGACUUGUAUAUAUAUGCAACAGUCUUUCACCAACACUCAAAUUAGAUGGGCGUGAUAUUUAAAAGAAAUCGACAUACUGUAGUUUAUGAGAAUUUGGCAAGAAACUCGGAACCGAUGGACUUGACUUGUGAAAAAAUGUAAUCAAUGGACGACUACAGUUUAUAUCAAACACAGAAUCGAUGGACUUUCGCAAUGCAGGCUUGCCCUUACCAUUUACCAGGUGGUGACUUACCGGAGGAGCCAGUGGUGCUGCUGCGACCUUCUUCGGGCGAUGGUCAAUGAUGCAAGCUAAAAUCGGGGAUGGGAUAGCGGCUCCGGGCGACAAUCAGAGGCGAGGCAGCGCUGCAGACCGAGGACAAAGUGAUGCACUGGGGCGACGGCGCGGGGCGAGGAAGAAGCGGCGGAUGGGGCUGUGCAUGGGGGAGUUGGGGCGACCACUCGGUUCAGCGCACGGGAUCGUAUUAACUCUAUUUUCUCCUAGGUACCUGCGCUGGUAUAGUUUCACCAUGGGGUUACCAAACAAUUCUCUCUACUCCUUGAUUAAGAUGUCACAUCAAUUUUCUACUUACAUGUCAGGCUUAGCACUGGGAGCAGCCUUAUAGAAGUAAUGCAACAUAUUCUCUCUUAUGCCUACUUGAAAUACUGUUGUGGGUCUGUACUUUGCCUCUCAUAUUGCAAGAAUAACACAUUGUAUGUCUAUUCUCUUAACUGUAGUAAGGAUGAAGCAGGAAAGUGUGCUGGACCUUUUAA